GACCUAAUCUAAUUAAGCUCCUACAACCUCAAUUAAAUUUGAUCAAAUUAAUAAAUUAAUUGAGCCAUAGAUCCAAUUAAAUUAGGAUCAUUUCUUCCUUACCAAUUAAGUCAUCUCAUAACCUAAUCAGAUCUGAUCUAAUUGAAUCCAAUUCAAUCAAACUUGAUCCAGACUUUAAUACUCAAUCAAAUUGAGCUAAUUAGCGAUCUAAUCACUAAUUAAUCCUCCAUUAAUGAUAGAGUUCAAGUUCAAUGGGAUACUUCAUCAGAGUCUCCGUCUAGUGGGACUCUUCAGAUUAGCCAUAUGAUCGGAGAGAAAUUUCUAAUGUGUGUGACUCCAUAGGCUCGAACUAAGUCAGUAGUACAGGAACUGAUUUCUUUACUAAUCGGAGUAACUAUCUAGCAAUGAUACCCGACAUCUGGAU
rnacentral:lncRNA from 1 species